rnacentral:rRNA from 1 species
AUUGAACGCUGGCGGCAUGCUUUACACAUGCAAGUCGAACGGUAACAGGCCGCAAGGUGCUGACGAGUGGCGAACGGGUGAGUAAUGCAUCGGAACGUGCCCAGUCGUGGGGGAUAACGCAGCGAAAGCUGUGCUAAUACCGCAUACGAUCUAUGGAUGAAAGCGGGGGACCGUAAGGCCUCGCGCGACUGGAGCGGCCGAUGUCAGAUUAGGUAGUUGGUGGGGUAAAGGCCUACCAAGCCAACGAUCUGUAGCUGGUCUGAGAGGACGACCAGCCACACUGGGACUGAGACACGGCCCAGACUCCUACGGGAGGCAGCAGUGGGGAAUUUUGGACAAUGGGCGCAAGCCUGAUCCAGCAAUGCCGCGUGCAGGAAGAAGGCCUUCGGGUUGUAAACUGCUUUUGUACGGAACGAAACGGUCUGGGUUAAUACCCUGGACUAAUGACGGUACCGUAAGAAUAAGCACCGGCUAACUACGUGCCAGCCGCCGCAGUAAAAC